GCAGUCGAACGAUACCAGAGAGCUUGCUUUCUGGGAAAGUGGCGCACGGGUGCGUAACGCGUAUGCAACCUACCUUAAUCAGGGGGAUAGCCUCUCGAAAGAGAGAUUAACACCGCAUAAAAUCACACUUCGGCAUCGAAGAAUGAUCAAAUAUUUAUAGGAUUAAGAUGGGCAUGCGUGACAUUAGCUAGUUGGUAAGGUAACGGCUUACCAAGGCUACGAUGUCUAGGGGAUCUGAGAGGAUGACCCCCCACACUGGUACUGAGACACGGACCAGACUCCUACGGGAGGCAGCAGUAAGGAAUAUUGGUCAAUGGGGGCAACCCUGAACCAGCCAUGCCGCGUGCAGGAAGACGGCCCUACGGGUUGUAAACUGCUUUUAUACGGGAAUAAAUCAUGCUACGUGUAGUGUGUUGAAUGUACUGUAAGAAUAAGGAUCGGCUAACUCCGUGCCAGCAGCCGCGGUAAUACGGAGGAUCCAAGCGUUAUCCGGAUUUAUUGGGUUUAAAGGGUGCGUAGGCGGCCUAUUAAGUCAGGGGUGAAAGACGGUGGCUCAACCAUCGCAGUGCCUUUGAUACUGAUAGGCUUGAUUACACUUGAGGUAGGCGGAA
rnacentral:rRNA from 1 species